rnacentral:misc_RNA from 1 species
GCUGGGGCAGAGUUUAUCCUUGAUACGACUGGACAGGGUUGAUGGAGUGGGUGUCAAAGGGUGAAAACUUGUAGGCGUCAAAGAAGAGCCAGGAGGAGUUGACUCCAAUUCAUUAUGGAGUUUGCAGAAGUUCCUUCAAGUACUCAAUUGCAUCCCCAAGGAUUGAUGCCCUAUCCAUCUUGCUUAUCUUUGGAACUACAGACCUUAGCAUGUAUAGCCUAUCAUUGAGCUUCUUCCGGCGUCUCCUUUCUG